AGGAUGAACGCUGGCGGCGUGCUUAACACAUGCAAGUCGAACGAUGAAGGCUGGAGCUUGCUCUGGCUGGAUUAGUGGCGAACGGGUGAGUAACACGUGAGUAACCUGCCCCAGACUCUGGGAUAAGCGCUGGAAACGGCGUCUAAUACCGGAUACGAGCUUCCACCGCAUGGUGAGGAGCUGGAAAAGAAUUUUCGGCAAGGAUGGACUCGCGGCCUAUCAGGUAGUUGGUGAGGUAACGGCCCACCAAGCCUACGACGGGUAGCCGGCCUGAGAGGGUGACCGGCCACGACGUGGGACUGAGACACGGCCCAGACUCCUACGGGAGCAGCAGUGGGAAUAUGCACAAGUGGGCGCAAGCCUGAUGCAGCAACGCCGCGUGGACGGACGACGGCCGUUCGGUUCGUAAACCGUUCGUUUUAAGUAAGGGUAAGAAGGACGUAAAGU
rnacentral:rRNA from 1 species